rnacentral:rRNA from 1 species
AUUGAACGCUGGCGGCAUGCCUUACACAUGCAAGUCGAACGGUAACAGGUCUUCGGAUGCUGACGAGUGGCGAACGGGUGAGUAAUACAUCGGAACGUGCCUAGUAGUGGGGGAUAACUACUCGAAAGAGUGGCUAAUACCGCAUGAGAUCUACGGAUGAAAGCAGGGGAUCGCAAGACCUUGUGCUACUAGAGCGGCCGAUGGCAGAUUAGGUAGUUGGUGGGAUAAAAGCUUACCAAGCCGACGAUCUGUAGCUGGUCUGAGAGGACGACCAGCCACACUGGGACUGAGACACGGCCCAGACUCCUACGGGAGGCAGCAGUGGGGAAUUUUGGACAAUGGGCGCAAGCCAGAUCCAGCAAUGCCGCGUGCAGGAAGAAGGCCUUCGGGUUGUAAACUGCUUUUGUACGGAACGAAACGGCUCUGGUUAAUACCUGGGGCUAAUGACGGUACCGUAAGAAUAAGCACCGGCUAACUACGUGCCAGCCGCCGCAGUAA